rnacentral:rRNA from 1 species
AGGACGAACGCUGGCGGCGUGCUUAACACAUGCAAGUCGAGCGGAAAGGCCCUUCGGGGUACUCGAGCGGCGAACGGGUGAGUAACACGUGAGCAACCUGCCCUUAGCUCCGGGAUAGCUCCGGGAAACCGGAAUUAAUACCGGAUACGACCACGGCCGACAUCUGCUGUGGUGGAAAGGAUUCCGGCUAAGGAUGGGCUCGCGGCCUAUCAGCUAGUUGGUGGAGUAACGGCCCACCAAGGCGACG